CCCUUUCCUUUCCAAAUGGGGUCCAAAAUGCACAGAUUUCUUAGUUUGCAAAGAAAGAAAAAAGGUGUGCAAGAAAUUAAUGACUCUGCACAUUGAAUGAACAGGAAUUAGUAAUUUUUUUAUGCAACGUACAUUUUAGUUGGUUGAACCGAGACAUUGCUUGAUCUUGGACAGUGACCCCUUUGGCAUAUACAAUGACUAAGACUUGACCCUCAAUCCUUGUCCCUUUCUAUACCAAUAAAACCCCUCUUUCAUCUCCAUCACUUCCUUCAUUCUCUCUCUUUCUCUCUCUUUCUCUUUCUCUCUUUCUUUCUCUCUGAUGCUAUCUAUAACUUCCAUAGCCCCAAUUCAUCACUCACCUCACUACCCUCUUGCAUCAUCUCCACUUUCUUCACCUCUCAAUGUGGUUUCUUCAACAAGGCAUGACCAAUAGGUGAAGAUGAUGAUAGUGCAUCCUCGUGACCAAGUAGGUGGAAGAGAAACACGCAAGGAUUUGCUGCCUGCAACUUCUUCUUCAAAAACAACAAACUGUGCAUGCAUGAAACAUGGCCAGUUGCCUACAUAGCACGCUGCAAAAAUUAAUGAUGUCACGUGAAACUACGGAUGAACAAGAAAACUUAUAUAUAUAUAUAUAUAUAUAGAUUUUUAUUAUCUAGGAAGAAAAGUAAUGUAGGAUGUUAUUAAUGUUGUGUUUGGGGGGAUGUAUUUGACUAUUUUGUUUCGUUUUAAUAAGUCUUGUUAAAUUGGUAGUUUUGUUGAGAUAAUAUAUAAAGCAAUGUAUAUGAGAAGGAGAUUGUGGAAUUUUCUCGCCAUUAAUUAGUCAA